rnacentral:ncRNA from 2 species
UAAUACUAAGGAAUCCGAGUCCUGUAAAGAGGAAUCAGGACCAGCCGAUGACAGAUCGGCGAGGGUAUUGACCGCUUGAAUCAAUGCCUCCCGUGUUUGGAAAGGAUGUCUGCAAAAAUUAAG